CACUUUGUCACCAAGGGCCAGAUGCACCGCUUGCUAGAGGAUUCACAAGGAGCAUUGACUGAAGCGAACGGUUAUCUGAAGCUUCCAUGGGUCGAAGUCCCCAGGAGUGGCUCCCAGGAACCAGGAGCGUCAGACUGUAAGUGGCUUGUUUGGGGUGAGGCUGUUUGCUGGGCCAGUGCCCAGCAGCUGAGAUGACCCCACCCUCCCUGAACCUCCUUUCUGCAGAGAGGGUAACUGCCCCAUGGGCUACACAAGCGCUGAGUGCCACGCAGCUUCCUGAAGGUGAGAGAGAAGCUAAAGCAAGGUGCUGUCGGGUCCUUACACCAUGCAGAGCUGGUGGCUGCAAACGCGGCAAGAGUCAACGGUGGGCUGAGAGGACAUGAGAUGAGGCACAAGAGGCGUGUGGCACAGCCAUCUGUUGUGGGCCACAGUUUCUUGGCGAACAAACCAGGCUUCCAGGUGAGACUGCUUAAACCAACCACAACACUGAGAAUGCCGGCCUCCCCAGGUGUGCACUGCCAGGCCCAGCUCAGUCUUUUCUGGUCCAGGGGCCAGCUCCAUUCUCCCCACAAAGGUAGGGAGCCGUAUCUUAGUUUCAGGGAACCGGCAUAAGGCCCACUCAGGGUUUCUCCUGCUGCCUAGUGCUAUGGCCAGCAAAACCCAGGGCAGGCAAGUCUAGGCUAUUUAGGGUAGGCAGGAGAGGGCACUGUACCAGAAAAAGGACCGGGGUGA